CCCUUAGAUGUUCUGGGCUGCACGCGCGCUACACUGAUGCAUCCAACAAGUUUUUUCCUUGUUCGAGAGGACUAGGUAAUCUUAUGAGAAUGCAUCGUGAUGGGGAUAGAUUAUUGCAAUUAUUAAUCUUCAACGAGGAAUUCCUAGUAAGCGCGAGUCAUCAGCUCGUGCUGAUUACGUCCCUGCCCUUUGUACACACCGCCCGUCGCUACUACCGAUUGAAUGGUUUAGUGAGAUCUCUGGAUUGACGCUGGCUAGGGGGCGACCCUUGGCCAGACUGUUGAGAAACUGCUCAAACUUGAUCAUUUAGAGGAAGUAAAAGUCGUAACA
rnacentral:rRNA from 1 species